CCCCUCCCGGGCCCCCCGGCCCGGCGCGCGCCUGCGCCGGCCGCUCCCCGGCCCCCGAGCCGCCCGCGAGGCCGCCGCGGCCGGCAGCCUCGCCCCCCGACCCCGGCCGCCCGGGGCCAGGCCGGCUCCGCGCGCGCGCCCGCCGCCGCCCUCCCCUCGCGCCCCAGGAGCGGCCGGGGCCACCGCUCCACAGCCCGCGGCCAGCAGUGCUCUGGCCCCCCAGCCCCCGGCUGGCUCCCUGGCCCGGGCCUCUUGCGGGCUCCGUUUCCGUCGGCCGCGCGCCUCCCCACCUGCGCCCCGCUCUGUGCUGGCAGGGUCAGCCGGGCGGGCGGAGGGUCCUUAAUUCUCCAAGCCCGGUUCAUUGCCUCCGGUUGAACGUGAAUGCUCUUGUUGCCGAGGACAUCUUUGCAUUUCCCGCAAUCCGGUCAUUGUAUGGCUUCAGUGGUUAACGCUUAAGGCAUCGGAGUUGGUCUCUGGGCAGCUCCCCUGGAGAUAGAUGACUUGGGAAAAAGAAAUCAGUGACCACAUAGUUUCGGCCUGCUUAACAAAACCGAGGAAGAAUCCCCGUGAUCAGUCAAACGCAAGAGAAUCUGGAUUUGCCUGUAAAUGCAUCGCGAAGAGGCAGCCCAGAAUGAAGAAAGCAAGCAGGAGUGUCGGCUCAGCGCCUAAGGUGUCGGGGACAAGCAGAGUGCAGGCAGCGGACAAAGCCAGGCCCGAGAGCAGCUCCUCAGCCUCUGCGGGCAGCAGGCCCGUGAAGCCUGGGGCCGCAGCAGCGUUGUCGAAGACCAAGAGCAGUGAUGACCUUUUAGCUGGGAUGGCUGGAGGGGUGACCGUGACCAAUGGUGUCAAAGGCAAGAAGAACGCCUGCUCCUCGGCCACACCGGCCGCGCCCGCGCCUGCCGUGAGCGCCACGGAGAACAGGCCCAGGACCGGCACAGGCACGAGUUCUUCAACCAAGCGGAGCACUUGCACAGGUCAGGGGGCUAAUGACGUGGCGUCGGCCAAACGCUCCCGCAGUCGCACGGCUGCGGAAUGCGACGUCCGCAUGAGCAAGUCCAAGUCGGACAAUCAGAUCAGUGACAAAGCUGCUCUGGAGGCCAGAGUGAAGGAUCUUCUCACCUUGGCCAAAACCAAGGACGUGGAGAUUUUACAUCUGCGGAGCGAGCUCCGGGACAUGCGUGCUCAGCUGGGUAUCAGCGAGGACCCCCUCACCGAGGGCGCCGAGACGUCCGAGGAGAAGGAAGCCAGCACCGUGCACCAGCCAACCGACGUGGAGUCCACCUUGCUGCAGCUGCAGGAGCAGAACGCCGCCAUCCGCGAAGAGCUCAACCAGCUGAAGAACGAGAACCGGAUGCUGAAGGACCGGCUGAACGCGCUGGGCUUCUCCCUGGAGCAGAGGCUGGACCAUUCCGAAAAGCUGUUUGGCUAUCAGUCCCUGAGCCCAGAGAUCACCCCUGGUAACCAGAGCGACGGCGGCGGGACGCUGACCUCCUCGGUGGAGGGCUCGGCCCCUGGCUCAGUGGAGGAUCUGCUGAGCCAGGAUGAAAACACGCUCAUGGACCAUCAGCACAGCAACUCCCUGGACAACCUGGACAGUGAGUGCAGUGAGGUGUACCAGCCCCUCACGUCCAGCGACGACGCCCUGGACGCGCCCUCGUCCUCGGAGUCAGAAGGCCUUCCGAGCGUAGAGCGCUCUCGCAAGGGCAGCAGCGGGAAUGCCAGCGAAGUGUCUGUCGCGUGCCUGACGGAGCGGAUACACCAGAUGGAGGAGAACCAGCACAGCACGAGCGAGGAGCUGCAGGCCACUCUGCAGGAGCUGGCUGACCUGCAGCAGAUCACCCAGGAGCUGAACAGCGAGAAUGAGCGGCUCGGCGAGGAGAAGGUGAUUCUCAUGGAGUCCCUGUGUCAGCAGAGCGACAAGCUGGAGCACUUCAGCCGGCAGAUUGAGUAUUUCCGCUCCCUCCUGGACGAGCAUCACAUUUCCUAUGUCAUCGACGAAGACGUGAAAAGCGGGCGCUACAUGGAGCUGGAGCAGCGCUACAUGGACCUCGCUGAGAACAGCCGCUUUGAACGGGAGCAGCUCCUUGGCGUCCAGCAGCACCUAAGCAACACCCUGAAGAUGGCCGAGCAGGACAACAAGGAGGCCCAGGAGCUGAUCGGCGCGCUCAAGGAGCGCAGCCACCACAUGGAGCGGGCCGUCGAGUCCGAGCAGAAGGGCAAGGCGGCCUUGGCCGCCACCCUGGAGGAGCUCAGAGCCACCCUGGCCAGUGACCAGAUCGAGAUGAAUCGCCUGAAGGCCCAGCUGGAGAACGAGAAGCAGAAAGUGGCGGAGCUGUACUCUAUCCAUAACUCUGGAGACAAGUCUGACAUUCAGGACCUCCUGGAGAGCGUCAGGCUGGACAAGGAGAAAGCAGAGACUCUGGCCAGUAGCCUGCAGGAAGACCUGGCCCACACCCGGAAUGAUGCCAACCGGCUGCAGGACGCCAUCGCAAAGGUGGAAGACGAGUACCGAGCCUUCCAAGGGGAAGCUAAGAAGCAGAUAGAGGACCUGAACGUGGCCGUAGAGAAGCUACGCUCAGAGCUGGAAGAAAGAGACACAGAGAGGAGUGACAUGAAGGAAACGAUCUUUGAGCUUGAGGAUGAAGUGGAGCAGCACCGGGCAGUGAAGCUGCACGACAACCUCAUCAUCUCGGACUUGGAGAAUACGGUUAAAAAACUCCAGGACCAAAAACAUGACAUGGAAAGAGAAAUCAAGACCCUGCACAGGCGACUGCGGGAGGAAUCAGCAGAAUGGCGGCAGUUCCAGGCUGAUCUGCAGACCGCGGUGGUCAUCGCUAAUGACAUCAAGUCUGAAGCCCAAGAGGAGAUUGGUGACCUGAAGCGCCGCUUACAUGAAGCUCAAGAGAAAAACGAGAAGCUCACGAAAGAAUUGGAGGAAAUAAAGUCACGCAAGCAGGAGGAGGAGCGUGGCCGGGUGUAUAACUACAUGAAUGCUGUGGAGAGAGACCUGGCGGCCCUGAGGCAGGGCAUGGGGCUGAGCAGAAGGUCCUCCACGUCCUCGGAGCCGACGCCCACCGUGAAGACCCUCAUCAAGUCCUUCGACAGCGCAUCUCAAGUGCCCAGCCCUGCCGCGGCAGCGAUGCCCCGGACGCCUCUGAGCCCAAGCCCUAUGAAGACGCCCCCUGCGGCCGCCGUCUCCCCCAUGCAGAGACAUUCCAUCAGUGGACCCAUCUCCACGUCCAAACCCCUGACAGCCCUCUCAGAUAAGAGACCAAACUACGGGGAGAUCCCUGUGCAAGAGCAUCUGCUGAGAACGUCUUCGACCAGCCGACCUGCUUCUCUGCCGAGAGUGCCUGCCAUGGAGAGCGCAAAGACCCUCUCAGUGUCCCAGACGAAGCAGCGAGGAGAUGAAGCGCGACGUGUCUGCUCCCGAGGGCACGGUCGCCCGCACGCGCUCAUGGCCAUGUUCUGUUGGAUUUCUGGCUUGGAAGGGUGCUCUGAUAAGGAACACGAGUUGAAAUGUUUCUUCUCUCCACUUCCCAGGGAAGAAAGGAAGGAUCCCUGUCGGCCUUGGCGAGAGAAUAUGGGGGUUCCAAGAGGAACGCCUUGCUGAAGUGGUGUCAGAAGAAAACCGAGGGCUACCAG
ensembl:lncRNA